rnacentral:rRNA from 1 species
UACGGAGGGGGCUAGCGUUGUUCGGAAUUAUUGGGCGUAAAGGGCGCGUAGGCGGCUUGGCAAGUGGAUGGUGAAAUCCCUCGGCUUAACCGAGGAACUGCCGUCCAAACUGCUUAGCUUGAGACCGGGAGAGGUGAGUGGAAUUCCCAGUGUAGCGGUGAAAUGCGUAGAUAUUGGGAGGAACACCAGUGGCGAAGGCGGCUCACUGGACCGGUACUGACGCUGAUGCGCGAAAGCGUGGGGAGCAAACGGGG